GGAGGAUUUUUUUUUUGCUAGGCCAUCACACAGUCAGACGGAAGCUUCAACAGAGCCAGUGGGUGUACAGUUUAAAACAUCAUCAUUGUACACCGCAACCUUCUUCACCAAGUCCAGAUGAAACCGUACCAAUUACAGAAGAAGAUGGAUAACAACAAAAUCCCUUCAAAAUCUCUUGCUGAAAUCUUCAAGGACUAUCCCAGAUUUCUUGACAUGCCAGCUUUGAUGGACAUUGAAUUUUCCAAGCUCACAGAUGGGAACGAAGACUUGUUUAUCCAGAAAAGGGAAGGGACGAUAAUUCCAGAACUCAAAGAAAUAGCAUCUUGGAGAAGAAAAUUGACAUCAGACUCUUACUGAAGAUGGCUGACAAUCAGCAUGAUGAUGAGCUGUUAAACUGUUAAAGAUCCUUAUUCAUCUUCUUCCACC